rnacentral:rRNA from 1 species
CCUACGGGGGUCAGCAGUGAGGAAUAUUGGUCAAUGGGCGCGAGCCUGAACCAGCCAAGUAGCGUGAAGGAUGACUGCCCUACGGGUUGUAAACUUCUUUUAUAAAGGAAUAAAGUGAGGCACGUGUGCCUUUUUGUAUGUACUUUAUGAAUAAGGAUCGGCUAACUCCGUGCCAGCAGCCGCGGUAAUACGGAGGAUCCGAGCGUUAUCCGGAUUUAUUGGGUUUAAAGGGAGCGUAGAUGGGUUGUUAAGUUAGUUGUGAAAGUUUGCGGCUCAACCGUAGAAUUGCAGUUGAUACUGGCAGCCUUGAGUGCAGUUGAGGUAGGCGGAAUUCGUGGUGUAGCGGUGAAAUGCUUAGAUAUCACGAAGAACUCCGAUUGCGAAGGCAGCUUACUAAACUGCCACUGACGUUGAUGCUCGAAAGUGUGGGUAUCAAACAGGAUUAGAUACCCUGGUAGUC